CAGCUCAAGUGUGGUCCUGAUUCCCAUCUACCUCAUUGGAGACCUUUGAACUAUCCUUAAUUGGAUUUUAUCAGACUUCAGUGCUACAUCUUG